rnacentral:rRNA from 1 species
GAUAAACGCUAGCGGCAGGCUUAACACAUGCAAGUCGAGGGGCAGCAUAGAUUGUAGCAAUACAAUUGGUGGCGACCGGCGCACGGGUGCGUAACGCGUAUGCAACCUACCCGUCACAGGGGGAUAAUCCGGAGAAAUCUGGUCUAAUACCCCAUAACAUAUGGAUAGGCUUCGGUUCAUGUUGAAAUUUUCGGUGGUGACGGAUGGGCAUGCGUAGCAUUAGCUUGUUGGUGAGGUAACGGCUCACCAAGGCGACGAUGCUUAGGGGGACUGAGAGGUUUUCCCCCCACACUGGUACUGAGACACGGACCAGACUCCUACGGGAGGCAGCAGUGAGGAAUAUUGGUCAAUGGGCGCAAGCCUGAACCAGCCAUGCCGCGUGCAGGAUGACGGCUCUAUGAGUUGUAAACUGCUUUUGUACGAGGGUAAAGUGGGUUACGUGUAACCUUUUGAAAGUAUCGUACGAAUAAGGAUCGGCUAACUCCGUGCCAGCCGCCGCCGAAA